rnacentral:rRNA from 1 species
UACGAAGGGGGCUAGCGUUGCUCGGAAUCACUGGGCGUAAAGCGCACGUAGGCGGGUUCUUAAGUCAGGGGUGAAAUCCCGGAGCUCAACUCCGGAACUGCCUUUGAUACUGGGGAUCUUGAGUCCGGAAGAGGUGAGUGGAACUCCGAGUGUAGAGGUGAAAUUCGUAGAUAUUCGGAAGAACACCAGUGGCGAAGGCGGCUCACUGGUACGUAACUGACGCUGAGGCACGAAAGCGUGGGGAGCAAACAGG